rnacentral:rRNA from 1 species
UUUAUUGGAGAGUUUGAUCCUGGCUCAGGAUGAACGCUGGCGGCGUGCCUAAUACAUGCAAGUCGAGCGGAUGGAUUAAGAGCUUGCUCUUAUGAAGUUAGC